CAACGGAGAGAGUGGCCAAACUGCGGUUUGUGUCCCCUUUGUAGCCAAGUCCACGAGUCCGCGGCGCAUCUCCUAUUCCAAUGCCGAUUCUCGGUUGCAGUUUGGAAUACGGUAAAGGCGAGGACCGGACUGAGUAAUAUUGUCACGGCAGACUGGACGACUAUGCAAAGUGCCAGGCAUUGGUCGACUGAGAUGGUGCUUACGCGCUCACCUAACGGAAAAGGGAUGGCCUCCCUCCUUAUGCUUAUCUCUUGGGAAAUUUGGAAGGAGAGAAAUGCUAGGAUCUUCCGGAACGUUUCCGCGUCUUUGAUGAUUCUCGUGGAAAAAAAUUAUGGAUGA
rnacentral:rRNA from 1 species